GAUGAACGCUGGCGGCGUGCCUAAUACAUGCAAGUCGAGCGAACGGACGAGAAGCUUUCUUCUCUGAUGUUAGCGGCGGACGGGUGAGUAACACGUGGAUAACCUACCUAUAAGACUGGGAUAACUUCGGGAAACCGGAGCUAAUACCGGAUAAUAUUUUGAACCGCAUGGUUCAAAAGUGAAAGACGGUCUUGCUGUCACUUAUACAUGGUUCCGCGCUGCAUUAGCUAGUUGGUAAGGUAACGGCUUACCAAGGCAACGAUGCAUAGCCGACCUGAGAGGGUGAUCGGCCACACUGGAACUGAGACACGGUCCAGACUCCUACGGGAGGCAGCAGUAGGGAAUAUUCCGCAAUGGGCGAAAGCCUGACGGAGCAACGCCGCGUGAGUGAUGAAGGUCUUCGGAUCGUAAAACUCUGUUAUUAGGGAAGAAAAUAUGUGUAAGAAACUGUGCAGAUCUUGACGGUACCUAAUCAGAAAGCCCCGGCUAACUACGUG
rnacentral:rRNA from 1 species